rnacentral:rRNA from 1 species
AGAGUUUGAUUCUGGCUCAGAACGUACGCUGGCGGCACGCCUAACACAUGCAAGUCGAACGAAGUAGCAAUACUUAGUGGCAGACGGGUGAGUAACAUGUGGGUAUCUGCCCUUUGGCCUGGAAUAACACGAGGAAACUUGUGCUAAUACCGGAUAAGUCUUUACGGAGAAAGCUUUAUGCACCAUUGGAUGAGCCCGCACUUGAUUAGUUUGUUGGUAGGGUAAUGGCCUACCAAGACUGUGAUCAAUAGCUGAUUUGAGAGGAUGAUCAGCCACAUUGGGACUGAGACACGGCCCAAACUCCUACGGGAGGCAGCAGUGGGGAAUCUUGCACAAUGGAGGAAACUCUGAUGCAGCGAUGCCGCGUGAGUGAAGAAGGCCCUUGGGUUGUAAAGCUCUUUCGUCGGGGAAGAAAAUGACUGUACCCGAAUAAGAAGGUCCGGCUAACUUCGUGCCAGCAGCCGCGGUAAUACGAAGGGACCUAGCGUAGUUCGGAAUUACUGGGCUUAAAGAGUUCGUAGGUGGUUGAAAAAGUUAGUGGUGAAAGCCCAGAGCUUAACUCUGGAACUGCCAUUAAAACUUUUCAGCUAGAGUAUGAUAGAGGAAAGCAGAAUUUCUAGUGUAGAGGUGAAAUUCGUAGAUAUUAGAAAGAAUACCAAUUGCGAAGGCAGCUUUCUGGAUCAUUACUGACACUGAGGAACGAAAGCAUGGGUAGCGAAGAGGAUUAGAUACCCUCGUAGUCCAUGCCGUAAACGAUGUGUGUUAGACGUUGGAAAUUUAUUUUCAGUGUCGCAGGGAAACCGAUAAACACACCGCCUGGGGAGUACGACCGCAAGGUUAAAACUCAAAUGAAUUGACGGGGACCCGCACAAGUAGUGGAGCAUGUGGUUUAAUUCGAAGAUACGCGCAGAACCUUACCAACACUUGACAUGUUCGUCGCGACUCUAAGAGAUUAGAGUUUUCGGUUCGACCGGACGAAACACAGGUGCUGCAUGGCUGUCGUCAGCUCGUGUCGUGAGAUGUUGGGUUAAGUCCCGCAACGAGCGCAACCCUCACUUUUAGUUGCCAUCAUUAAGUUGGGCACUCUGAAAGAACUGCCAGUGAUAAGCUGGAGGAAGGUGGGGAUGACGUCAAGUCCUCAUGGCCCUUACGUGUUGGGCUACACACGUGCUACAAUGGUAUCUACAACAGGAAGCAAGACUGCGAAGUUAAGCAAAUCCCUAAAAGAUACCUCAGUUCGGAUUGCACUCUGCAACUCGAGUGCAUGAAGCUGGAAUUACUAGUAAUCGUGGAUCAGCGUGCCACGGUGAAUGCGUUCCCGGGUCUUGUACACACCGCCCGUCACACCAUGGGAGUUGGUUCUACCUUAAGGCAAGGUUUCAAACCCUUGACCACGGUAUAGUCAGCGACUGGGGUGAAGUCGUAACAAGGUA